GGUUGCGAUCAUAACAGCACUAAUGCACCGGAUCCCAUCAGAACUCCGUAGUUAAGCGUGCUUGAGCGAGAGUAGUACUAGGAUGGGUGACCCCCUGGGAAGUCCUCGUGUUGCAAUCC
rnacentral:rRNA from 1 species